rnacentral:tRNA from 1 species
GAGGGAAUAGCUCAGUGGUAGAGCACGUGCUUAGCAUGCUCGAGAUCCUGAGUUCAAUCCCCAGGACCUCCG